UUUGGGGAACCACUGAGUUUCUCCUCAAUCUCUGCGAUGCUUCUUUGAAAUACUCCAAAUAUCUCCUCAGCAGCCGCAGUCAGUAUCUGCUCCACCGACACCCUCAGCUUAUGCAUUUCACACAUUUUAUCACUUUUUCGACACACACUUUUGCAACGAAACC